rnacentral:miRNA from 1 species
AGGGAGAAAUGGCUUUGGA